rnacentral:rRNA from 1 species
GUAGGGGGCAAGCGUUAUCCGGAAUUACUGGGUGUAAAGGGAGCGCAGGCGGUACGGCAAGUCUGAUGUGAAAGCCCGGGGCUCAACCCCGGUACUGCAUUGGAAACUGUCGGACUAGAGUGUCGGAGGGGUAAGUGGAAUUCCUAGUGUAGCGGUGAAAUGCGUAGAUAUUAGGAGGAACACCAGUGGCGAAGGCGGCUUACUGGACGAUUACUGACGCUGAGGCUCGAAAGCGUGGGGAGCAAACAGGAUUAGAUACCCUGGUAGUCCACGCCGUAAACGAUGAUUACUAGGUGUUGGUGGGUACGACCCAUCGGUGCCGCANCAAACGCAAUAAGUAAUCCACCUGGGGAGU